GUGGGGAAUAUUGCACAAUGGGGGAAACCCUGAUGCAGCAACGCCACGUGUGGGAAGAAGCAUUUCGGUGUGUAAACCACUGUCGUGAGGGAAUAAGGCUAUUUUUCGGAGUAGUUGAAUGUACCUCGAGAGGAAGCACCGGCAAACUUCGUGCCAGCAGCCGCGGUAAUACGAGGGGUGCAAGCGUUGUUCGGAAUCACUGGGCGUAAAGGGAGCGCAGGCGGAAGCUCAAGCGGAUUGUACAAUACCGGGGCCCAACCCCGGACCUGCAGUCCGAACUGGGUUUCUUGGAUAGUUCAGGGGCAAGCGGAAUUCCUGGUGUAGCGGUGGAAUGCGUAGAGAUCAGGAAGAACACCGAUGGCGAAGGCAGCUUGCUGGGGACUUAUCGACGCUCAUGCUCGAAAGUGCGGGUAGCAAACAGG
rnacentral:rRNA from 1 species